ensembl:lncRNA
AUCGGAAACUUCACUAUUCAAAAGUGCUUUGGGGCCAAAUGAGCUCUCCAACUCUACAAGCAGAAAGCCCUACUGGGGAUAUGUGGAGGGGGGAUAUUCCACCCCCACCACCAGACUAGGCUGCAUUCAAGAAAGACUCAGAUUGAGGGAGGGAGGGAGGAAAGGAAAGAAGGAAAAAAAAAAAAAAAAAAAAGGAAGGAAGGGAAGGAAGAAAGGAGGAAAGACAAGAGAUUUUUUAAAAAGAGAGGAUUUAAUUGGACUUAGUGGCAGAGGGGAUUAGCAAGAGGGGCACUUGGGACCUGGUUUUAAAUUGGCGAGUGCUUUUUGGAAGAAAACACUGUACGCACGAUCAGGGUCUGGGUGUUCCAGCGAACUGAUGACCAUACAAAUCACGAGUUUCACAGGGAUGACAUAGUGUCAUGCUUUAGCCAUGAGCUAUCGUGGAAACUAGCCUCCCUCUCGUAGGCAAUCCAUCAUUCACUAACUGGCCGCUCCACCAUUCCACACGGAAAGAAGUCGGACUCGGAGCCUCCCGCGCGGGCUGGGUCUGGGAACCCUCUGCGGGCGCGGGUGCGCGGGCGGGCGACCGAGUGCCGGCCAAGCGGGGCUCGGAUGGGAGCGGCCCGCGCCAGAUCCGAGGGCGAUUGCCUCUCCAGCCUGCGGAGGGUACGGCCGCGAGUGCCUCCAAAUCACUAGGGGACUCUGAACGUGUUGCUCCCGUCAACUCGCUCAACAUGAUUCAUUUAUUCACUUAGAUAAACCACCACCGCCACACCAACCUGCCACUUGAUGCGCACUUAAAAGGACAGGGGAGCGCGGGCCAGGCAGACCCUCCGCCGGACACGACUCGGGGAGAAACAUGUUUUAAAAUCCAAGCUCUUGAGCUUCUAACCAGGGAGCGCGCGCGAGUGUGUGAAGAGGCUGAGAACCUCGGUUUUCAGAGACUCUAGAAUAAACUUCUCGCCCCCCUCUCCUCCCGAGGACAGUCGGGACUGUGGGUGAUCGAGUCUCAUUGGGUCGGGUCGGCCUUCUAAGUUGGCGGGGCCCUGCGGGACCGGUCUGCUUGACCCGACCGCGCUCGCAUUGGAGAGCCGAGGCUCGAUCGGUCUGCCGGGCUGCAUAACCCCCGCCCCGCAGCAGCGGCGUCCCUCGCGCGCCGCCGCGUUUCCCGCGCUCUCGGCCCGUACUUCCCGGCGCGGCCUACAAGGCCCCGCGCGGCCCCGCCUCCGGGUCCCGCUCGGUCUCCGGCUGCGAGAGGGAAGGCGGAGGUUAUCCGCCGAGGGACAAGCGGAGCGGACCGAGGUUCCUGAGCAGAAGGGAAAAUGAGCUUAAACAUGAGGCUUGGAGGAGAAAGAAGGGCUGGGGAGAAAUAUGGUUGAGGAAGGAAGGAAUCCUUUCUACUCCACCAUCACUACUAGAGAGACUCGGAGAUUGCAGAGUUGCAGAAUGGAAGGAAAGUGUUUUCUUAGAGGAAAACUGCAAAGAAGAGGAAAACUGUAAAGAAGAGCCACCUGACCCAUAUCAGAUUCUCCUGAUAUCUAGCAGAUAUUUUUAAGAACUUGGAUUUGGGGGUUUACUGAUUGUAGCAGCUACAGUUAUUUACCUUUCCUUAUGUAUGCAGAUGGGAAAAAAGGAAUAGAAGCUAUGACCAUUAUUAUUGUUGUUCACCAUCAAAAGGAAUGGCCAGCGGUAGCCUUAGACUUCGGUGGUACUUAAUAUUCAUUGGCCAGAUAGACUGAAACAAUUUCCUUCUGACUCUGAAAACUUCUCUCUAACCUUACUUAAAAAAAUGUAUAUUCUCAGGAGGCUGUUUUCACAAGAAGUUUGAAGAAGUAUAGUAUUUUAUAUUUAUUUAUUUAAGGUCUCCACUUAACCUGAACUUCUUAAUGCCACUAUUUCUUAUUUAUCUGAAUGAAUGAUUGAUUUCACAAAAAGGAAAUUAGUACAAUAUGUUGAUGGAAGGU